GUGCGUGAGCUUCUGCCGUUAACUAACUGCAUCGGUUUUUAUAAUUUCCUGUCUCGCCGAUCCAGCGUUGCCAUCGUCGGGUUCGACCUAGAUCUUGCUAAGCUAUGAUCUAUCCCAUCAUGUUGACCCUUCGCAGAAUCGCAGACUCUAGCUUGCUUGAAGAUCGCGCGAGCAGCACCUGCAGCCCUACAGCAUAGCCAACCAACUCUCCGCUAGCUUUCUGGGAUUAAACCUCUCGACAUGCAGCAGUUCAACCCGCCGACCUAGGAGUUGGGAGAACAUUAUUUGUUAAAAUAACCUUGGUGUUAAACAAAUUGUCAAUGCACAUUUUAAUUUGCACUCGCCCAAGGUGAUGCAUCUUACGUCAAUGCCAGGGUAAACAGGCUAUGAGAAUGCCUUGUCUGCACGAUUGUAGCUAUUUUCCCCAAUUAAUUGGCGCUGUCCUUGUUUCCUUUCUGCUAGCACUUCUUGUGAUUGCUCA
rnacentral:sRNA from 2 species